UACGGGGGGGGCAAGCGUUGUUCGGAAUUACUGGGCGUAAAGGGCUCGUAGGCGGCCAACUAAGUCAGACGUGAAAUCCCUCGGCUUAACCGGGGAACUGCGUCUGAUACUGGAUGGCUUGAGUUUGGGAGAGGGAUGCGGAAUUCCAGGUGUAGCGGUGAAAUGCGUAGAUAUCUGGAGGAACACCGGUGGCGAAGGCAGCCUCCUGGGCCAACACUGACGCUCAUGCACGAAAGCAUGGGGAGCAAACAGG
rnacentral:rRNA from 1 species